AUGUUUGAGCUGUUCCCAUCCCCAUCUCCCCUUUUCCCCGCAGGGCUCCGGGCGGCCGUGACCCUGCUGGAGUCCGGGGGGGACCUCCAGCCCCCCGGGGGGUCCCUGCGCCUCCUCUGCCGAGGGCUCCGGGCGGCCGUGACCCUGCUGGAGUCCGGGGGGGACCUCCAGCCCCCCGGGGGGUCCCUGCGCCUCCUCUGCCGAGGGGCUGGGUUCGAUUUCGGGGGUUUUGACGUGCACUGGGUGCGCCAGAGACCCGGGCAGGGGCUGGAGUGGAUCGCUCUUGUCACCAGCAGUGGUGGCACCACCCACUACGCGCCAUCGUUCAAGGGCCGGGUCAGGAUCUCCAGGGACAACGGGCAGAGCUCGGUGACGCUGACCAUGAACAACCUCAAGGACGAGGAUUCCGGAUCCUAUUUCUGCGCCAAAUGUGGUGCUGCUGGUUGGGGUCCUGCUGCUUGACCCCAUCGCUGUCACCGUGUCCCCCCUGUCCCCCGUCACCGAGCUCUGCCCGUUGUCCCUGGAGAUCCUGACCCGGCCCUUGAACGACGGCACGUACUCGGUGUAG